rnacentral:rRNA from 1 species
UACAGAGACUGCAAGCGUUAUUCGGAUUCACUGGGCGUAAAGGGUGCGCAGGCGGCCAAGUGUGUGAGGCGUGAAAGCCCGGGGCUUAACCUCGGAAUUGCACUUCAAACUACAUGGCUAGAGCAUUGGAGAGGGUAGCAGAAUUCACGGUGUAGCAGUGAAAUGCGUAGAUAUCGUGAGGAAUACCAGAGGCGAAGGCGGCUACCUGGACAAUUGCUGACGCUCAGGCACGAAAGCGUGGGGAGCAAAAGGG